rnacentral:tRNA from 1 species
GGGGAUGUAGCUCAGUUGGCUAGAGCGCUUGACUGGCAGUCAAUAGGUCAUGAGUUCGAAUCUCAUCUUCUCCA